UGGAGAGUGGCGCACGGGUGAGUAACGCGUGGGGACCUACCUCUUAGUGGGGGAUAACGGUUGGAAACGACCGCUAAUACCGCAUACGCCCUUCGGGGGAAAGAUUUAUCGCUAAGAGAUGGACCCGCGUUGGAUUAGAUAGUUGGUGAGGUAACGGCUCACCAAGUCAGCGAUCCAUAGCUGGUUUGAGAGGAUGAUCAGCCACACUGGGACUGAGACACGGCCCAGACUCCUACGGGAGGCAGCAGUGGGGAAUAUUGGACAAUGGGGGCAACCCUGAUCCAGCCAUGCCGCGUGAGUGAAGAAGGCCUUCGGGUUGUAAAGCUCUUUCAGAUGCGAAGAUGAUGACGGUAACAUCAGAAGAAGCCCCGGCUAAUUUCGUGCCAGCAGCCGCGGUAAUACGAAAGGGGCUAGCGUUGUUCGGAUUUACUGGGCGUAAAGGGCACGCAGGCGGUCUUGCCAGUCAGGGGUGAAAGCCCGGGGCUCAACCCCGGAACUGCCUCUGAUACUGCAAGACUAGAGACUAG
rnacentral:rRNA from 1 species